rnacentral:rRNA from 1 species
ACGGGGUGCAGCAGGCGCGAAACCUCCGCAAUGUGAGAAAUCGGGAGGGGGGGAUCCCAAGUGCCAUUCUUAACGGGAUGGCUUUUCAUUAGUGUAAAGAGCUUUUGGAAUAAGAGCUGGGCAAGACCGGUGCCAGCCGCCGCGGUAAUAC